AGAGUUUGAUCCUGGCUCAGGAUGAACGCUAGCGGCAGGCUUAACACAUGCAAGUCGAGGGGUAACAUUGGUGCUUGCACCAGAUGACGACCGGCGAACGGGUGCGUAACGCGUAUACAAUUUACCUUAUACAGGGAGAUAGCCUUUAGAAAUGAAGAUUAAUAUCCCAUAGUUUAAUGAUCUGGCAUCAUAUUAUUAAUAAAGAUUUAUCGGUAUAAGAUGAGUAUGCGUCCUAUUAGCUAGAUGGUGAGGUAAAAGCUCACCAUGGCAACGAUAGGUAGGGGCCCUGAGAGGGGGAUCCCCCACACUGGUACUGAGACACGGACCAGACUCCUACGGGAGGCAGCAGUGAGGAAUAUUGGACAAUGGAGGCAACUCUGAUCCAGCCAUGCCGCGUGCAGGAAGACGGUCCUAUGGAUUGUAAACUGCUUUUAUAGAGGAAGAAACCUUUCCACGUGUGGAAAGCUGACGGUACUCUACGAAUAAGCACCGGCUAACUCCGUGCCAGCAGCCGCGGUAAUACGGAGGGUGCAAGCGUUAUCCGGAAUCAUUGGGUUUAAAGGGUCCGUAGGCGGGCAAUUAAGUCAGAGGUGAAAUCCCACAGCUCAACUGUGGAACUGCCUUUGAUACUGAUUGUCUUGAAUUUUAGUGAAGUAGAUAGAAUAUGUAGUGUAGCGGUGAAAUGCAUAGAUAUUACAUAGAAUACCGAUUGCGAAGGCAGUCUACUAACUAACAAUUGACGCUAAUGGACGAAAGCGUGGGUAGCGAACAGGAUUAGAUACCCUGGUAGUCCACGCCGUAAACGAUGGAUACUAGUUGUUGGGGUUUACCUCAGUGACUAAGCGAAAGUGAUAAGUAUCCCACCUGGGGAGUACGUUCGC
rnacentral:rRNA from 1 species